rnacentral:misc_RNA from 1 species
AAGUCGUAACAAGGUAACCGUAGGUGAACCUGCGGUUGGAUCAUUAAAAAUAUAAUUAGAAGGUCUCUAUUUCUUAGAGGUUCCUUUCUAAACAUACUUGUGAAUUAUUCAUGUCUCUGGUGUGGGCAUUUGUGGUUUGUAGGAUUUUUGAGUUAGUUACUAGCUCCUCCUACAUUCCCGCACACAUCAGUUAAUCUUUUAACCUAUUGUAUAACUUUAAAGCCUAAAAAUCCUUUAAAAAAAAGAACAAACAACUUUUGACAACGGAUCUCUAGGCUCUC